ACCAGCUAGGAAGGUCCUGAGCAAGGUAGGGGGUCCUGGAAGGAAGCCCUACUCGCCCAGAGUUCAGGAGCCAGGGAUGGAAAGUGGGUAGAUUCUGACUACCUCAGAGGCCAAGAUCCAGGUGAAAAGCAGCCAUCCCUACUUUAUGAUGGAGUCUUUACCCUAGUCCUUCACUGAGGAAGUCAGUUCUGAGUCAGGAUUCCCAGAUGGACAGCUGUGUGGACUCUCCAAUAGGCUUGUUCUCCUGUAGGAGCUCCCAGCAACAGCGGGGAGGGGCAUGAUCCGCCAGUGAGGUCACAGAGCCCAGCAGUGCGCUCAGGCAAAGGAACCCAGGCCCCAGAAUGAACUUUGACCAGAAGGCUGUGAAAUUCCUGGCAAACUUUUACAUCAAUGGAGGCAAACACUGGACUCGGGGACCCCUGAGUCAGAAAUCUCUUCACCUCACCCAGUCCAAUGCUACUGUGCUAUGGUGGGACCAGGAGCUGGAGGCUGCCUGGGAUGAGAUGUGGCUCCCAAAGAUGAAGAGAGCUUCAAGCGGCUUCAAAUUAAAAUCAGGCACUCCUAAUGAGUCCACACCUAUUGGCACAGGGACUCUGAGGGAGCUGUGGCUAGAGAGACGUCCUCCAAUCCUGACAGACCUGGAUGUCCCUGGCCCAACCCAGUAUGAGGCGCCCAAUGUGUCUCUGCGAGAAUCUUCUCCACACCCCCAAUACACCAUCGGGCGCAAGUACCCGGGUCGAGGUGCAUGUCCCUACAAAUCCUGCCUAUACCGGGGGAAUGGGAACCUCAUGCCCUGAAAACCUCCCCACCGACCAUCCGCCCCACUGCAGAGGGUGGUGGCCGCAGGGCAUGGCAGACCAUGUGGCUCCAGAGUGAAAGCCCCUUCACACAGAAGACUGACUUCAACCGAGAGACAAAGUGGCCAUCGCCUGCCGAGUACACGCCGUUGAGUCAGCCUGCCUUCCCGGCCUUCAGCUUUGGAAGCCGCCGUCGCUCUUCGGCCAAAAUACCUGAGAGGCAUUUCCGCCCGGGGAUGCUCCGAGCCCGAGGUCCUUGUAACUAUACCCCACUCUUGGCUACCUCAAAGCCCUCUGGCGAGAAGCGACCCGGCCCCAACACCUAUAACAUCUUUCCUGGGUGCCGUCUGCAGAGCACACGCUCACCCGCCUUCUCCAUGAGCCGCUCUCCUGCGUUUGCAUCCUGGGUCAGCUCCAGAUAGAAUAGGAAAAGAACCCUGUGGCAAUGUGGGACAACCUGAUCCAGUCACCCGAGGUCCAGCAUCUACCUGAGGAUCAGGGCUGCUUGCUUGGCUGUGGAACUAUUGGGAUGGGAUGGGAAGCCAGAACCUAUGGAGCUGUCUUCACACAGCCUUGCCCAGCCCAUGAGGUAGGACCCAGGGAGUCAGCUCACCAGACAUGGGUCUACUGGAGCCUCGACCUGAAGAUUCAACUGUUUUUGCUAACUUGUGUUCUGAGAACCCAAGCCCAAAGCCUUCAGCCCUAGCCCCUGCCCAGUGAUGGCUCCCUCAGCACUGUUGACCUGCCUUCCUACUUAGAAGGAGUACCCUUCAGGAGCCUCACCUUGCAGCUAGUCAUAGUAGUUUCUCCAGGGCCCUCUCCAUAUUUUCUUCCUCACCCAGACAUAGAUCUCACUAAAGAACAUUUUAAAAAUGU
rnacentral:lncRNA from 1 species